rnacentral:rRNA from 1 species
AGCGAACGCUGGCGGCAGGCCUAACACAUGCAAGUCGAACGAACCCUUCGGGGUUAGUGGCGGACGGGUGAGUAACACGUGGGAACGUACCUUUAGGUUCGGAACAACACAGGGGAAACUUGUGCUAAUGCCGAAUGUGCCCUUCGGGGGAAAGAUUUAUCGCCUUUAGAGCGGCCCGCGUCUGAUUAGCUUGUUGGUGAGGUAAAAGGCUCACCAAGGCUACGAUCAGUAGCUGGUCUGAGAGGAUGAUCAGCCACACUGGGACUGAGACACGGCCCAGACUCCUACGGGAGGCAGCAGUGGGGAAUCUUGCGCAAUGGGCGAAAGCCUGACGCAGCCAUGCCGCGUGAAUGAUGAAGGUCUUAGGAUUGUAAAAUUCUUUCACCGGGGAAGAUAAUGACGGUACCCGGAGAAGAAGCCCCGGCUAACUUCGUGCCAGCAGCCGCGGUAA